rnacentral:rRNA from 1 species
AGUGAACGCUGGCGGUAGGCCUAACACAUGCAAGUCGAACGGCAGCACGGUAAGAGCUUGCUCUUACGGGUGGCGAGUGGCGGACGGGUGAGGAAUACAUCGGAAUCUACUUUUUCGUGGGGGAUAACGUAGGGAAACUUACGCUAAUACCGCAUACGACCUACGGGUGAAAGCAGGGGAUCUUCGGACCUUGCGCGAUUGAAUGAGCCGAUGUCGGAUUAGCUAGUUGGCAGGGUAAAGGCCCACCAAGGCGACGAUCCGUAGCUGGUCUGAGAGGAUGAUCAGCCACACUGGAACUGAGACACGGUCCAGACUCCUACGGGAGGCAGCAGUGGGGAAUAUUGGACAAUGGGCGCAAGCCUGAUCCAGCCAUACCGCGUGGGUGAAGAAGGCCUUCGGGUUGUAAAGCCCUUUUGUUGGGAAAGAAAAGCAGCAGGUUAAUACCCCGCUGUUCUGACGGUACCCAAAGAAUAAGCACCGGCUAACUUCGUG